GAUGUGGCUCAGUGGUAGAGUGCUUGCCUAGCAUGUGUGAGGCACUGGGUUUGAUUCUCAGCACG
rnacentral:tRNA from 1 species